ensembl:antisense D430036J16Rik RIKEN cDNA D430036J16 gene
AGGCAUCACCAGGGAGAUGAUGAAGAAGGGCAGCCAACACACAAUAAAUGCUCCUAAAAUGAUCCCUAGGGUCUUGGUGGCUUUGCGCUCCCUAGCGGCCAUGAGUUUCUUCUUUUCCAGCAGGGCGUCUGAGACUCGCACUUUGACUUGGUUCACGUACACAGGAGACCCGGACUCACUGGGCACGUCCGGAGCCCGGGAGUUAAUGGAGGUGACCGAGGAUGUGGAUCCCGGGGAGUCUGUUAUCAACUGGGCUCGGGUCAAGCGCUUGCCGGUCUUGUUGGGUGUCUGUUUCAAAAUCCGAGAGCGGGCUUCCACAUAGAUGCGGCCAUAGAGGGCGAUGAGGAGCAGGGUGGGUAAAUAGAAAGCGCCCACCGUGGAGUAGACCGUGUAGAGGACGUGGUCGGUGUUCACAAAGCAGUCCAGCAUCUCCUCCUCUGCUUUGGCUUGACGCCAGAAGAAGGGUGGCAACGAAAUAGAGAUGGAGAAGACCCACACCAGCACGAUCAUGAUGGCCGCCCUUUUGGGAGUCCUUUUAGCAGAAUACUCCACCGCAUCGGUGAUGGCCCAGUAGCGGUCCAGGGCGAUGACACAGAGAUGCAUGAUGGAAGCAGUGCAACAGGUGAUAUCCGACGACAGCCAGAAGUCGCAGACCACCUGGCCUAGUGUCCAGCGUCCAGUGACCGUGUACAUGGUGCUGAUGGGCAUCACCAGGAUGGACACGAGCAGCAUUUCAAAGCAAAACUCCUGCAAGUACCAUUUACAAGAAGGAUCUAUGCGAGGCACAAAGCAAAUCUCAAGCAAACUGAAACUGACAGUUAAUCAAAAAAGAUGAUUAAGAAAAUAACCGUAAUCAAAGGAAAUAACUUCUCCAUCAACAAUCAGCAUAUGCCACGACUGCAAGCUCCUGCUGCCUGCACCUCCUUGCCAUGAUGGACUGUACCUUGAACCCUGUGCUAAAAGAAGCCUGUUCUUCCAUAAGUUGCUUUCAUCAGAGUAUUAUGUCACAGCAACAGAACAGAAACUAGGACAGCAUAAAUAAAGUUACAUUGCGUAAAUUUGCCAGCACCCAAAUCUAACUCAACCCUCCCAAGUAUACAGAGCCAUGUUCUAUCUUGUCCUUGUCAAAUACCCCCCAUCUUUCUCUCAGUUACUUCCAAAGGCUGAUGGCUGACACCUUGGCAACAAAAAUGCAUAACUACAUUGUCUUGGUUCAUUCUUCACUCAGUAGAUUAUUGCUUUGAAUCCUACGUGCCAAUAUUUUUUUUGUAUAUAUUAAAUGAAAAGGUCUAAGACAGUGAUGACUUCUCUUGUUAGAAAAGUUUACUUUUCUGCCAAAUGCAUACUCUAUUUUCAGUAUUAGAGUAUGCUUUUAUUAUGUCUAUUUUUUUCUCUACUAUCGCUUGACUAUAACAGACUAGUUAUGAGAAUUUGUCCUAAGGUAAAUUUUAAGGCU